AAUGCCUAGGAAUCUGCCUGGUAGUGGGGGAUAACGUUCGGAAACGGACGCUAAUACCGCAUACGUCCUACGGGAGAAAGCAGGGGACCUUCGGGCCUUGCGCUAUCAGAUGAGCCUAGGUCGGAUUAGCUAGUUGGUGAGGUAAUGGCUCACCAAGGCGACGAUCCGUAACUGGUCUGAGAGGAUGAUCAGUCACACUGGAACUGAGACGCGGUCCAGACUCCUACGGGAGGCAGCAGUGGGGAAUAUUGGACAAUGGGCGAAAGCCUGAUCCAGCCAUGCCGCGUGUGUGAAGAAGGUCUUCGGAUUGUAAAGCACUUUAAGUUGGGAGGAAGGGUUGUAGAUUAAUACUCUGCAAUUUUGACGUUACCGACAGAAUAAGCACCGGCUAACUCUGUGCCAGCAGCCGCGGUAAUACAGAGGGUGCAAGCGUUAAUCGGAAUUACUGGGCGUAAAGCGCGCGUAGGCGGUUUGUUAAGUUGGAUGUGAAAUCCCCGGGCUCAACCUGGGAACUGCAUUCAAAACUGACUGACUAGAGUAUGGUAGAGGGUGGUGGAAUUUCCUGUGUAGCGGUGAAAUGCGUAGAUAUAGGAAGG
rnacentral:rRNA from 1 species